AGUGAACGCUGGCGGUAGGCUUAACACAUGCAAGUCGAACGGCAGCACAGUAAGAGCUUGCUCUUACGGGUGGCGAGUGGCGGAAGGGUGAGGAAUACAUCGGAAUCUACUUUUUCGUGGGGGAUAACGUAGGGAAACUUACGCUAAUAUCGCAUACGACCUACGGGUGAAAGGAGGGGAUCUUCGGACCUUGCGCGAUUGAAUGAGCCGAUGUCGGAUUAGCUAGUUGGCGGGGUAAAGGCCCACCAAGGCGACGAUCCGUAGCUGGUCUGGGAGGAUGAUCGGCCACACUGGAACUGAGACACGGUCCAGACUCCUACGGGAGGCAGCAGUGGGGAAUAUUGGACAAUGGGCGCAAGCCUGAUCCAGCCAUACCGCGUCGGUGAAGGAGGCCUUCGGGUUGUAAAGCCCUUUUGUUGGGAAAGAAAAGCAGCAGGUUAAUACCCCGCUGUUCUGACGGUACCCAAAGAAUAAGCACCGGCUAACUUCGUG
rnacentral:rRNA from 1 species